UAACCUGCCCAAGAGAUCGGGAUAACACCUGGAAACAGAUGCUAAUACCGGAUAACAACAGAUGAUGCCUAUCAACUGUUUAAAAGAUGGUUCUGCUAUCACUCUUGGAUGGACCUGCGGUGCAUUAGCUAGUUGGUAGGGUAACGGCCUACCAAGGCGAUGAUGCAUAGUCGAGUUGAGAGACUGAUCGGCCACAUUGGGACUGAGACACGGCCCAAACUCCUACGGGAGGCAGCAGCU
rnacentral:rRNA from 1 species